rnacentral:tRNA from 1 species
GCGGCCGUCGUCUAGCUUGGAUUAGGACGCAAGCCUGCCACGCUUGAGAUCCCGGGUUCAAAUCCCGGCGGCCGCA